CUUAAACGUAUCCUAAAACAUGCUAUGUUACAAUAGGAAAAGUUUAGUAUUAACACAAGCUCUUUUAAACUCAGUAAAGUGAGAUAAGACCUAGACAUGAAAAAUCAUAUAGUCUAAAAGUGAUGAAAUAAGGAGACACAAAGUGGUAUGCCUAUCAGAUUGUCAAAAAUAGAAGAGUAAUAAUAGCUGAGUUUUGGCAAGGCUGAGAGAAGCAAAAAGUCUUCUGACUUAGUAAUUCUGCUCCAAAGUUCAUUUAAAGAAAUAACUGGACAAGUUUGAAAGGAAGUGUGUGUGUGUGUGUGUAGAUAGAUACAGAUAUAAGGCACAGUGACAAACUGGAAGUCAUCUAAGUAUCCAGUAGAAGACUACUUA
rnacentral:lncRNA from 1 species